CCCCCCUAGAGGGAGACAGAAGGGUCGAGAUACAUAACCGUGCACAGGGAAGGAGUUUCAUGAUGAGGGAUAAGGGAAAGCUUUUCAGGGGAAUUAAUGACAUAUUGUAUUUUAUUUACAGUUGUUUAUAUUUUCACAAAAACUUUUAAAUGUUGUUUUCUCACCUCUGUGACAAGAAGAAGAUCGAGAAGAAAGCAAACAGUGCAGAGACAAAGCAGCAGCAGCUCUCUGCGGAUCACCAUGAUGAAGAAACACACGGCCCACAGCUGAGCUGUUCCUGCAGCUGGCCCAGGGAACCUCAGCACUGAAGGAGGAGAAGAGGUAGAAGAAAGCCCACGCCUGGAUGACAAUGUACGACACGGCUGCGUAUGCAAUCACGACCUGGGUUGCAUAGCC